GAUGAAGAACGCAGCGAAAUGCGAUAAGUAAUGUGAAUUGCAGAAUUCAGUGAAUCAUCGAAUCUUUGAACGCACAUUGCGCCCGCCAGUAUUCUGGCGGGCAUGCCUGUUCGAGCGUCAUUUCAACCAUCAAGCCCCCGGCUUGUGUUGGGGACCUGCGGCUGCCGCAGGCCCUGAAAACCAGUGGCGGGCUCGCUGUCACACCGAGCGUAGUAGAUUUUCAUCUCGCUCAGGGCGUGCUGCGGGUUCCGGCCGUAAAAAGCCUUAUUUACCCAAGGUUGACCUCGGAUCAGGUAGGAAGACCCGCUGAACUUAAGCAUAUCAAUAGCGGAAGA
rnacentral:misc_RNA from 1 species